rnacentral:tRNA from 1 species
GUCAUGAUGGCUGAGCGGUCAAAGGCAGUGGGACUGUUAACCCCACGAGGUAUUAACUCAACGCGGGUUCGAAUCCUGCUCAUGACGCCA